CGGGGUGCAACAGGCGCGAAAACUGCACAAUGCUGGAAACAGCGAUGCGGGAAUUCCAAGUGCCGGCACUAAGUGUCGGCUGUUCCAUUGUCUAAAAAACAUAGGAAGUAAGGGCUGGGUAAGACGGGUGCCAGCCGCCGCGGUAAUACCUGCAGCCCGAGUGGUGGCCGUUAUUAUUGGGCCUAAAACGUCCGUAGCCGGUUGGGUAGAUGCCUGCGUAAAUCGAACGGCUUAACCGUUCGAACUGCGGGUAGACCGCCCGACUAGGGACCGGGAGAGUCACGAAGUACUCCGGGGGUAGAGGUGAAAUUCUGUAAUCCUCGGGGGACUACCGGUGGCGAAGGCGUCGUGAUAGAACGGCUCCGACGGUGAGGGACGAAGCCCUGGGGCGCAAACCGGAUUAGAUACCCGGGUAGUCCAGGGUGUAAACGCUGCGGUCUUGGUGUCGGAAGUCCUACGGGGGCAUCCGGUGCCGGAGAGAAGUUGUUAAGACCGCUGCCUGGGGAGUACGGCCGCAAGGUUGAAACUUAAAGGAAUUGGCGGGGGAGCA
rnacentral:rRNA from 1 species